rnacentral:rRNA from 1 species
GACAGAGGGUGCAAACGUUGCUCGGAAUCACUGGGCGUAAAGGGCGCGUAGGCGGAUAGAUAAGUCGGGCGUGAAAUCCCUAGGCUCAACCUAGGAACUGCACUCGAAACUGUUUGUCUUGAGUACCGGAGAGGAAAGCGGAAUACCUGGUGUAGAGGUGAAAUUCGUAGAUAUCAGGUGGAACACCAGUGGCGAAGGCGGCUUUCUGGACGGUAACUGACGCUGAGGCGCGAAAGCGUGGGGAGCAAACAGG